CCUACGGGUGGCAGCAGUGGGGAAUAUUGGACAAUGGGCGAAAGCCUGAUCCAGCCAUGCCGCGUGUGUGAAGAAGGCCUUCGGGUUGUAAAGCACUUUCAGUGGGGAAGAAAGCCUUGGGGCUAAUACCCUCGAGGAAGGACAUCACCCACAGAAGAAGCACCGGCUAACUCCGUGCCAGCAGCCGCGGUAAUACGGAGGGUGCGAGCGUUAAUCGGAAUUACUGGGCGUAAAGCGCGCGUAGGCGGUCUGAUAAGCCGGUUGUGAAAGCCCCGGGCUCAACCUGGGAACGGCAUCCGGAACUGGCAGGCUAGAGUGCAGGAGAGGAAGGUAGAAUUCCCGGUGUAGCAGUGAAAUGCGUAGAGAUCGGGAGGAAUGCCAGUGGCGAAGGCGGCCUUCUGGACUGACACUGACGCUGAGGUGCGAAAGCGUGGGUAGCAAACAGGAUUAGAUACCCGGGUAGUC
rnacentral:rRNA from 1 species